UCUCAUUCCUCUCUACUUGAGCCAACAUAAGAAAAAUCUCUCUCUCUCUCUCUCUAGGAUUGGCUCCAAAGUGUGCAGUUUGGUAGAGAAAAGCUUGCUUAGAGAUGAAGCUUUCUUUUUCUUCUCCAUUGGCUUGAGAGAGCUUGGGUUUGAGAGGUAAGCUUUGAUAGCAACAAUGGUAGAUUGCUAAGUAGUGAUUUGUAUGCCUUAGAAAUGGGUUUAGUGAAACUCCUAGAUGCUAAAUAGAUGGUUGAUGCUCGAAUUUAGAGAUCAAAUGAUGAAUUCUUGCAUAGUUGCAUCUUAGGGCAUCAAAAGAGGGGUUUUUGCUUGUGAGGGGUUUUGAUCUAAAUUGAUCAUGUAUAAACCUAAUUGCUAGGUAAACGAACGCGUUGGCGAAGUCGGUUCGGCAAUUCGUCGAGCCUACGCGAAGUUAUUAAAGAAACGGACGUUUAGGAUUCGUUUCCGCCUGGAGGGCCGAGGCGACGUCGUAAAAUCAUGGAAUCGGAUUUGAGGCACUGUAAUAGCAAAACGAAGACCCUUUUUGCCCGAGGCUGCGAAGCGAUGCGCGGUUGGUGCGCAAUUGCAAGUUCCGACGGAACCGAGCACCGGAUGCGGCGGGAGGCCGAUUGCAAGUGUCGACAAGCAAUCGGAAUGCACUAACAGGUGGGUUGUGCUCACCGAAGUUAUUAGCUCACUUCCAUGUCGAAGUGAAAGUGUAAUUCUCGUUGAUGCAUAUAAUGUAAAUGCUAAAUGAUGCAUAUGAUGUAAAUACUUGAUGAUGCAUAUAAUGUAAAUGCAUGAUGACAUGAGGCAUAUACUAAAUGAUGUUGACAUAUCACGAGAUGCUAGUUGAUAUAUAUACAUGAUAGGGUAUUGGAUAGUCGCAUUUCUAUUCUUGCAUGAUCCAUAGUAGUGUAGCAACAUGAGUUGGCACUUGAGUUAGGAUGCAUGAGAAUAGAGGAAUGGUGACAUAGAACCCUAUAGAGAUAAGUUAAACAAUAACUUGAUCUUGUAUUGAUGAAUAUGAUGAUAUAUGACUAGUAUAGUCGAGCCAUUGCAUCGUGACGAGUGGCAUGUGAAUCAAGUAAACAACUUGACGAGUGGCAUUAGAACUUAGUGUUAAAAGAACACUUGUGACAUGAUGACUCAGGGGAUAGAUGAGUCUCCCUAUUUGAUACCUUGCAUGAGAUCGGUGUGACAUUGAUGACCCUAGAGACAGGGUAUCCUCAGUGCACGAGGAUUGGAUCAUACUCACAUUGUCUGUUCAGCGCUUGUGGCGGUCGCCCCGCACAAGUAGUGCGAGCUCCGGAGUCUUGUCACAUGAAACGAUUGGGAUAGCCUAUGUGGGGUCCCAAGGGAUAGCCUAUGUGGGGUCCCGCAGACAGUCCCUCGGGAGUUCGAGUCCCCUUCCAUAGACGGAUUUGAGAUGUGAGUUGAGGGCGCGCUUAUGGGCCAGCCAGAGGAUUGGGUAAUAAACUCAUGAGAAUUAUGCAUAUUGAGCAUAGUAAGCAUAUUGAGCAUGUUGAGCAUGUUGGGCAUAGUAGAAUUGCAUGUAAACUUGAUAGAGUUAUUAUAACAUGUUAGAUAUUACAUGGCUAUGUGAUUUACUCUUGUUCUCCAGGCAUAGUAGAAUCUUGCAAUUCUUUCUAUAUGCAUCCCCAGUAGAGUGGAUAUUAGGCUGAGGCGCAAGUGAAACGUCCUUUGUCUUGAGCCUGAUUUUGUGCGGUAAUCUGCGGAUGAUUGACUUAAGACCGAGUCGGGUGGAUAGCUUCGUAAAGGUAGAUAAAAACCUUGUGAGCAACAGUAAAGGUCAAUGAAACCUUAUGAUCAGAAUGGUAAUUGACAAGAAUCUAAAAUAGAGGAAAACUUAGAAGUCAAUUGGACGAGCUAUGGAUAGCAGGAUUGAAAGUAGUAUCAAUUAAACUACUAGUUGGCUAUAUAGUUGCAUUAUUGCAUGAUUUUCAUAUUGCAUAUUGCGAGGCAUGUUAUUUGUUAGUUGCAUAAAUACAUGACGAUAUAUAUAUCUGUGGAUGUUUUUGGACUAACAUAUUGCAGUGUCUCCUUCGGACCUGGUAGGUCGAGCUCUUCCCUUGGGUGGCCGUACCCACUGGGAAUUAUAUUUAUAUAGUUCUCACCCCCGUGUGGUUUUGGCGGUUACAGGUUCGCACGUGAGCGGCGCGGUGGCGCAAGGAGAGGGCGUAGCUCCGUAGAUAGCGCCUUACCACCAAGACCAGAGAUAGUGGUACCCGAGUCAGCCAAGCUAGGGGCUGUAGAAAAGAAAAAGAUUCAAAGUUGUAAUAAUCUGGUGAUAAUUGAUUGUAUUCGAAAGUUGAAUGUAAUUUUUAAGAAAGGAAAUGUAUAACUUUCAAAUGAGAUGAAUGCUUGUAAUAACAUUGGAUGUGUUAUGUUUUUGAUAUUUUCUUUUGCAAUCUAUGAUUGAAUACUGUUCCUGGUUGGAACCACUUGUAUUGUUUUGAUUGCGACGCCUAGGACGUACAGGGGAAACUCUGUCCGUUCGGCGGUCUGUCGGCGUGCCCGAACCUGACCAAAUAGGCGGGGCGCGGGGCGUGACACAUAGAGAGCCUCAAAUGGUGCCAUCUCUAUACUAGCUUGGUAACUAUUGUUGUAUGCGAACUCGGCCAUUAGCAAGUGACCACUCUAACUACCCUUGUAGUCAAUGACAUACGCUCGCAACAUAUCCUCCAAAACCUGAAUGGUUCUCUUUGAUUGCCCGUCGGUUUGAGGAUGAAAAGCGGUGCUAAACUCGAGCCGUGUGCCAAGUGCCUCUUGCAAGCUCUUCCAAAAGUACGAAGUAAACCGAGAGUCUCGAUCCGACACGAUCGACUUCGGAACCCCGUGCAACCUCACCACUUCAUCAAGAUAUACCUGAGCAAGCUUGUCACCUGACCAUAUAGUGUGGAUCGGUAGAAAAUGUGCUUACUUCGUCAAACGGUCCACCACUACCCAAAUCGCAUCGUGGCAACCCGACGAACGGGGCAAUUGGACCACGAAGUCCAUGGCAAUAUCCUCCCGUUUCCAAACGGGGAUAGGUAGGCUUUGAAGCUUUCCCGCUGAAAAUCGGCGCUCCGCCUUGACUUGUUGGCAAACAAGACAUUGCGCCACAGAGCGUCCAAUAUCACCUUUCAUUCCCGGCCACCAGUAAAGCAUCUUUAAAUCUUGGUACAUCUUGGUGCCGCCCGGGUGGACACUAUAGGGAGACCGAUGCGCAUCUUGCAAAACCAUUUUUUGGACUUCAUCAUUUUCCGGCACACACCACCGGUUCCGGUAUCGAAGCGUGCCAUCGGCAUCUAUACUGAAAUCACCGCCACGCCCACCCUCGAUGUCGCGCCGCACCUUUUCAAGAUUCGGGUCCGCAGAUUGCAAACUCUUGAUUCUCUCCAACAAGGUCGGUUGGACAACGAGAGCCGACAGUAUAGUCAGUACCUACGGAGCUACAACCUCAAGAUCUAUUCGCCCCAUUUCUUUCCACAGGGCCUCCUGAUUUGUGACCCAUAGCGCGAGGUUCUCCGUCGACUUUGGAUCUAAAAGGUAAGUAACACCUAGAGGGGGGUGAAUAGGUGUAAAAACGGCAAACUCGAAAAUCUCGAUGUAAAUAAAACAAAGUAGCGAAAAAUAAAAAUAGCACACUGAGAAUUUAACGUGGGAAAACUCCAAACGGAGUGAAAAAACCCACGGGAUCGAUCACGCGAAGAAAAUCCACUAAGAAAACUUGAGUACAAGUGAUUUUGACAAAAAUACACGACUCAAUUUACCGAAUUCCCGUUGAUGGUGAUCUUCGCCGGUCCUCGAUCGAUAGGAAUCCUCCAACCGAUCCUGCUGUAACUCCUUGCAACGUCAACGCCUCAACUCCUCGAAGCGUUCACCGAAUCCUCGGCUUCACGCGAGAUCCACGCGCCAAACCUCCUUCCGGAGCUUGUAGAAUCGAAGAUUUGUGGUGAUUUAAUCUUUGAAUCCCAUAAGCUAUGAGAGUUUGUCUUCUAAUCAAACAUCAACUUGAUUCUCGAAGAAGAUCUCAAGUAAAAUCGAAGAACCAAGUCGAUUGUUGAUUUUUUGAAACUCGUUAUGAGAAUAGAAGCAUUGAAAUGGAAAAAAUAAGUUUCUAGGGUUUAGAAUCAGUAAAUAUUCAAAGCCUUAGAUUUUUAGAUGACCCCCAUAGCUUAUUUAUAUGUUUAGAAGACUUAGAAGUAGACUAGGAUUGCAAAAAGUCCUUUUUAAAAAGCUGUGUCGUCCUCAGAGACCGGUCCUCUUGAGGAGACCGGUCUGUGAGAGACUGGUCUCUCAAGUGAGGAACUGGUCCCUCGCUGCGUGUUCAAAAACACAACGUUCGGGAACCGGUCUCUCAAGCUUGAGACCGGUCCCUCGCUGCGCGACAGAAUUACCAAGGUUCGAGAAUCGGUCUCUCAUCUCAGGGGACCGGUUGCAUCAAAACUCAUGCAGUGAGGACCUUAGGGGAACCGGUCUCUCCAACUCAAGGACCGGUCCCAGAACACAGAAAAGUUCAGUAAAAUAGUUUUAAAGCAAUCUAAGCCUUCUGAACUUAUUCUAGUUAAGUAUCUUCACCACAAAUGAACUUUUCUUCAUACCUUAGGUGCCGAAUUAUACGAAUGAAUCUUUGUUCUUCAAUUUGGAUCUUUUCUUCAAAACUUCCGUGAUCAACUCUUCAAGACUCUAAUCUACUUUACGAAAUUCGCAAACCUAUAAAAUCCUUAACAUCUGCUAAGUGCAUCAGCUACUACAUUUGCUUUUUCGUGGUGAUAGAGUAUAAUAACAUCAUAAUCCUUUAGCAGCUCUAACCACCGCUGUUGCCUCAUAUUAAGCUCCUUCUGUGUAAACAAUUACUUCAGACUUUUGUGGUCCGUGUAUAUCUCGCAAUGCGCAUCGUACAAGUAGUGUCUCCACAGCUUUAAAGUGAAGAUCACUGGGCCAACUCCAAAUCGUGGAUAGGGUAGUUCUUUUCAUAGCUUUUUAACUGACGGGACGCAUAAGCGAUCACCUUCCCGCCAUGCAUUAGAAAACAUCCCAAACCCAAAUAGGAAGCAUCGCUAUACACCACAAAGUCCUCACCUUGCACCGGUAGGGCGAGCACCGGAGUCGAAGUCAGCAUCUCCUUCAACUCCUUGAAACUCCGGUCGAGAAUUCCUUUAUGAACCGUCUAUAAUAGCCCGCUAAACCCACGAAGCUACGGAUUUCCGUCACAUUAGUCGGGCGAGGCCAAUCCUUGAUCGCCUCAACUUAUUUCGGGUCAACAGAAACUCCACCAUCGAAAAUGACAUGUCCCAAAAAUGCGACUUCACGGAGCCAAAAGUCACAUUUCUCCAACUUCGCAUAAAGUUUCUCCUCCUGUAGGACUUGUAGCACUAGCCUCAAAUGCUCUGCGUGCUCCUCGUCACUACAAGAGUAGACCGAGAUGUCGUCUAUGAAGACUACAACAAAUCGAUCUAUGUAAGCCCGGAAAAUACGGUUCAUCAAAUCCAUGAAUGCUGCCGGAGCAUUUGUGCGCCAAAACGGCAUGACCGUGAACUCGUAGUGUCCAUAUCGUGUGCGAAACGCGGUCUUUUGCACAUCCUCCGGCUAUAUCUUAAACUGAUGGUAGCCAGACUGAAGGUCUAUCUUCGAGUAUACUCGCGACCCCUGCAAUUGAUCAAACAAGUCGUCGAUACGGGGCAACGGGUACUUAUUCUUGAUAGUGACCUUGUUCAACUCGUGGUAAUCCACGCAGAGUCGAAACGAUCCAUCUUUCUUCCUCACAAACAGAACCGGGGCUCCCCAUGGCGACACACUCGGCCUAAUAAAUUUCUUGUCGAGGAGAUCUUGCAACUGAGCCCUCAACUACUUCAACUCUGCCGGUGCCAUACGGUACGGAGCCUUCGAAAUCGACGCGGUCCCGGGAAUCAAGUCUAUAACGAACUCGAUCUCCCGAUCCGGCGGUAUCCUCGGUAACACCGCGGAAAACACAUUCGGAAACUCCCGGAUCACUGACAUACUCUCAAGUGCUGGAGUCUCCCGAUCAAUCUCCACAACGGUCGCUAAAUAAGCUGCGUAAUUGCCGCUAACCAUCUUCCUCCCUCUAGACGCUGACACCGUCAUGGCGAAGCACGGGCUUUUGCACGCUCGAUAGGUGAACUCCUUCUGUCCUUGCUCACGAAAAGUUAUCACCCUGCUCUUGCAGUCGAUAGACACAUAGUACUUCGAGAGCCAGUCCAUGCCAAAAAUCAGAUCAAAAUCCUUCAACCUCUUCAGCACCAAUAAGCGCAUCGGCAUAAUCCAGUUGCCCACUUGCACCAGACACGCCAAACACUCCUUCCGAAUAACAAAUGCACGCCCGGGGCCCUCUACUAGCCAAGUGCUCUCACUCAACUGAAUGCCUAUGUCAUGCAUUUGUACAAAUGACCUACUGAUGAAUGAAUGCGUAGCACCUGUAUCAAACAUAACCCUGGAGCGAACUCCGUUAACCAAAACCAUACCUACCAAGACGUUGCGCUCCUCGGCCUCAGCAGGUUCCUCGGCUUGAGCGACGAAUACUCGUCCCCUCGAAGCCGACCGGAUCACCUCAGGCUGACGCAGCGCCAUAGCGCGUCCAGCAGACACGGCAGUAGGUGGAUGUAACACACUGAACUUUAGCAAAUUGUAAGGUUCGAUUGUUUGAUCUAUGUUCUGAGUUUUUUCAGGUAUUCUGAAAGGUCAUAGACAGUGUUCCGACCUAUGACUCGCAUCUCGAGGAGCGAGGAUGGAAACUUAGUGUAAGGAAGUGAAUUCUCGAAAUCCGAAAGUUGUACUUCAUUCAGGAUCGACUAAUUGUCGAGUGAGUAUCCUUUGGGAAAGCUAAAGUUAUCCAAAACACAAAAAGUGCAUUGGAGUUGAGUCCGCGAGAGCAUAUAGUGCAAAACCUGCACUGGGCUGAAGUUGCUCUCGGGGACUGGUCCCUGGCAGGGAGAGACCGGUCCCUGAGGCUGGUGGUUGCUGGGGAUCUUUGAUGCAACCGGUCCCUGGCUGAGAGGACCGGUCCCCGUGUGCGACGCCAGCGAGAGAAGGCCAAAAAUCGGCUAAGUCUUGAAAAUCGAGCUCUCGGGGACCAGUCUCUUAGGCGAGGACCGGUCUCCCGAGGACCGGUCUCCCAGGGAAAGACCGGUUCCCGAACGCGAAGAGGCCUUCUGGCUGCCAGGACUGCUGUCGGGGACCGGUCUCCCCGACGAGGGACCGAUCUCUCUGGGCGCAGAAUGCCCAGUGAGGGCUGUGUACAGGGUGAAAAGUUGAGGGGCUAAAAUGGAUUUUGUUACAAUAGAGGGGUAUGUAGGCCCUCUCUCUCUCCCUCAGCCUCUCAUUCUCUCUCUCUCUCUCACACUCUCUCUUACUCCCUCUCUCUCUAGGAAAGAAAGAACAAAGAGAAGGAGAAGAAGGAAGAGAAGAAGAAGAAGGAGAAGAAGAAGGAGGAGAUCAAGUUAGAGAAGGCUUGGAGCAUCUUCCUCUCUUCCUCUCCUCUCCAUUGGUGUAGCUCAAGAGGUAAGCUACAAACCCUAGCUCGUAGAACUUAGGGUUUUUGGAUUUUGAGCUUUGAGAUGAGGUCAAAUGGACUUCUAGCACCAUUGUUGGUGGAUUAGAGCUAGAGGCUAGGGUUUCAUGAUGCAAAUAGCAUGAUGCUAACCCUAGGGCACCCAAAAUGGGAUUUUUGGAAAUGGAUGAGAUUGAUCUCAUUUGAGGCCUUGUAAACCUAAUUGCUAGGUGUCCAAACGCGUUGGCGGAGUUGGAAUUAUGAUUCGUCGAGCGGGUGUAGAGCUAUCGGCAAAGUAGGGCCGACCUAGCUUCGUUUCUCCCAAAGAGGCGGGGAACACGUGGUUUGAAGUGCCGAGGAACACUUCUGGAACCUCCACAAUGAACAUUGACUACACAAGGUGGGGGGUGUCAUCUCGAAGCAACCGAACUCCUUUCUAUGUCUUAGAUUAACAUACUGCAUUGUAGGAUUGCAUAGUAGUACCAUUCCUUAUGCUUUCUAAUUGAUAACCUAGUAUACUUGGAACGCUUGGUGAUUUAGAUAGGUGAGGAUUGGGUCGGAACAUGGAUCCUAUAGUGCUAAAGAAAUGAGAUGAACACGAUGGGUGUUGAUGACAUAGAAAGUGGUGUUUAAAUGCUAAAGAACAAACGAGUGGCAUCCAAAUGUUAAAGAAUAACGAGUGGCAUUAAUGUAGUGUAAAUGACACUAGAGGUUUGAGAACCUAGGGAUAGAUAGAUCCCUUAGAAAAUGCCUUGGGGACAAAAAACUUAGUAAACCUAAGUACCCUCACAUGGAGAGGUUAUCGAUGAUUGAUUGAGAUAUUGACCCUAGUUAUAGGGCAUCCUCACUUGGAGAGGAUUUGAUUGGGUUGUUAACCCUAGUUGUAGGGUAUCCUCACUCGCAGAGGAUAGAUCUAGCUCACAGUCUACUUUUGGGGUGGUAUAGCCAUCCAUAUCCCCACAUGGAGGGGAUUGUCGUCGAGUACUCCGGAUUGUCGGGUGAUUUGGACCACUUGGAGGUCCGGACCACAUGGAGGUCCGCAGACGGUCCCGGGUCUGGGAGCACAUGGAGCUCCCCACCCAAUGGGAUGGCAAGGUGAGUCGAGGGCGAACCCAAGGGCUUCGCCACAGAUUGGGUAAAUGAACAGUUAACAAUGUCAUUGAAUAUUAUUAUUCGAACAUGGAUCGAACUUGUUAGCAUGGUAGUAAACCUUUACUAUAUGAUGCAUGCAUUCAUUAUACAUGAUUAUGGGUAUAGUAGCAUAGUUUUCCUUUAUGCCUUUUACAACUUUUAGAUAUCUAUCUAUCUGUCUACUUGUUGUUACUUGUGCCCACUUGGACCUAGUGGGGAGACCGGCAGAGUCGGCGGUCGAGCCCACUGGGAACUAUGGAAGAUAGUUCUCAUCCCACUCUAUUUCCAGUGGUAGGUACAGGUUUACCAAGCGAGGACCGCGACAAGGGCAUCGCGCCCAAUGAGUGAGACCGUGGUAGUAUAAUAGCUUUCCUUUUUGCAUUAGCACACCUAUGUAUUGAGAGAGAUUCAUAUAGGUGAGGAUUUGGAGAGCUAUGUAUUUUGAAUGAACAUAUGUAUUCAUUUUGAGGAAAAGAUGUACAUGUAAAAGAUGCAAACUAUUGCAAUAGUUAGUAAAAUAUUAUCUUUAUUUCACUUGUUUUCACUUGUGGAUUACUUGCUCUUAGUUGUUGGCACUACUUGUACCCCGUUGAAUGUGUAUGUUUAGAAUUUAAAUUUUCUGGGUAAAUUCUUGUACACAUUCCUGUUGUUGAGCCUUGUGCGGACAAGGGAGGUGCUCUCCGUUCGGCUUGUGGUUACUUGCUCUUAGUUGUUGGCACUACUUGUACCCCGUUGAAUGUGUAUGUUUAGAAUUUAAAUUUUCUGGGUAAAUUCUUGAACACAUUCCUCUUGUUGAGCCUUGUGCGGACAGGGGAGGUGCUGUCCGUUCGGCGGUCCGCCCGGCGGGCCCGAAUCGUGCCAAAUUGGUAGCGGUUUCGGGGCGGGGCGUGACACUUAGCACCAAACCUCUAAAGUGCAGGAAAUUGGGCUGCUCUCGGGUUUGCCUCUGUAGGGCUGAGUACCGGUAUUGCUUUGAAUUGGUACCGAAACUGGAGCUGGUACCAGUACUGCAUCGGGUUGGUACCGGUACCCUAUGCAUUUUCUCGCCAACCCGAAGCUCGGGUUUGCGCACACUGUGGCUUGGUACCGGUACUCUUUCCCGCGUACCGGCACGCAGUGCAGACUGCAGUUUGGCAGUUUUUGAGGGCUCUUUUUGUUAUUGUUACAAUACCUUAUAUACACCCUCACCCCUUAGACAGGGGCUUUUGUGUUGCGACCAGAGGAGAGCGAGGUGAGCUCCUCUCCAUUCUUUCUUGGUUUUUCUUCCCUUUUUUGCUUUAUUUGAUCUUCUCUCUUUGCUCCUUUUUGCUUCAUGUUGAUUUUCCACCAUUGGAGAAGCUUUGGAUUGGUGUUUGGAGCUUGUUAGAGGAAGGAUCUUCAACCUCAGCACCUUUCAAGCUUGGUUUGGAGCUUGUGAAGAGGUUAGUACCUUAGAUCUUCUCUUUAGAUAAAGUUUCUUGUGGAUUUUGAGAUGAAACCCUAGAAAUGGGAAAACUAGGGUUUAUUUGGGGAUUCUGAAGGGUCAUAGACAGUUUUGUUGAUGAUUUUCGAGUUUGAAUUUCAAUCUUUUGAUGCAUAAACAAAGGGGAGAGAUUUUCAUUUUCAUAUUUUUUUUACUACUAACUUUGUUUGUUAACUUUGUUCAUGGAGAAAGUAAUCUUUUUGCAGAUCAUUGAAAACUUCAAGACUCCUAGUUUUGUCUAAGUCAUAAAGUUUGUGUAGGAGUUGCAAAAUUGUAAUUUUGUAUUUGUUUGGAUCUUUCACGCGAGAAGUUCAUUGAUUUGGUGAUGUCAAUGAAUUUCAUUUUUGAGAGGUGAGCGUUGUGAGUAUUUUGAUGUAAUUUUGAGUUUUGUCACGAAAUUGCCAAAUAGGGAGAUUGUUACGGAUUUUAUGUUAGCAUAUUUCGUGAAGUUAGUCCGGAGUCUAGAAGGUUUAAAGAAGGAAAGAUGAAGAUCGAAGACUCGAUGACUUAAAACAUAAAUCCACAAUGCUCGAUAAGUUAAAAUACUAUUGUUGAUGAUUUAUAAAUAUUAACAAGUGUUUGGAAGACUUAGGAUGGGUUUUAAAAUGAAUUGGACUAAAUUGAACCUGUCAAGGUUCAGGGACCGGUCCUUGAUUAGAGGGACAAGACCCUAAGGUUCUCUCUGCGUAAAGAAACGAUGCAACCGGUCUUUGAGAUGAGAGACCGGUCCCCGUAGCAAGGUUUUUUGGCUACGCAACGAGAGACCGGUCCUUGAGAUGAGAGACCGGUUUCCGUGGCAUGUGUUUUUCUUCUACGCAAUGAGGGACCGAUCCCUGGCUUGAAGGACCGGACCCUGAGAGACCGGACCCCUCGAGAGGACCGGUCCCUGAAACCGUAACUGUUUCCAAAAUUGAGUAUUUACAAUCCUAGUCUACUUCUAAAUCUUCUAAACCUAUAAAUAGGAUGUGGGGGUGUUUCUAAAAGAUGGCUAAGCAUAGAAUAUCUUUUUGAAACCCUAGAAACUUGUUGGGUGCUUUCUUUCUUCUCUCCAACAACAAGUUUCUAUUGGAUCUGUAACAUACCAGAUUUUGGUAUAAAAAUAAAAAUAAAUAAAAAUAGUGUGAGAUACUAUUUUUAUUGAAUUUAGAGAAGUAAAAUAUAAGUCAGAAGCGACUUGUGCUGAAAUCGGAAUGAAAACAGAAGAUCUAGAAUUUUUUGUUGAAAACGGGACAGAUAAAUUAGCAGAAAUGCAUAGUGUCAGAAAAUUAUGAAAACUGGAGGGUAAGUCAGAAUUAUUUUUAUGAGGCUAGAUUUAAAGUUUCAUGUCAUUCUGUCACCCAGAAGGUGAAAAAUAAAAUCCGACAGCUAUCUGAUAAAGAUUACAGUUCGGUACAAUUUUCAGUGACCAAACGGGGUCGAAACUGAAAACUUAAGAUAUAUUCUUACUCAGUACGUUAAACCGAGCAUGCCUGUCAAAUUUGAGCCGAAACGGACAUUCAAAAGGGCUCCGACUUUUGCGAACUGCUAAACUGCCCGGGAUGAAUAGUGUUUGAGGGGUUAUUAUGAAGAAGCUGUUGCUUCUUCUUCUUCUUCGGCCGCACACCACACACGCACACGACCCACAUACACCCGCAUGGAAAGGGAAAGAGAGAACCCUCCCUUUCUCUCUCUAAAUCUCUCCCAAAUUAAAGGAAUUGGUGGAGAUUGAAGCUUGGAGGAAGGUCAUCUUCUUCAUCUUCCUCUUUAGCCAUUGGAGAGCAAACUUUGAUGGUAAGCUUUAAGAGUUUUAAUGGCAUCUCUCUCUAGUUUGGGUUUUAAGCUCCAAGAAUGGAUUUAGAGCUAUUCUAGCAUGCUAAAUAGAUGAUUGUUGCUCAAAUCAUGGAUCAAUUUAGUGAUUUCUUGCCUAGUUGUAAACCUAGGGCUUGAAAUGAGCUUCUUGAACCCUCUCAUGGUAGAUCUUUAGAGCCUUAAUUAUAUGCUCUANAUAGUUUAACCAAGAGUGGCAUUGAGACAAGAAUGGCCUAGAAAGUGGCAUGAACAAAUAGGUAGAAAACCUAUCAUAAAAGUGGCAUUGUGACUAGUGGCUAAGUAUCCUCAUGUUGGGGAUUCGAUCGAUACUCAUGAUAAGUCUUGGCUUGAGGGUGGUAGCUCCCCCUCAAGCGGUGAGUUUCCGAAAAUAGUCACCUCGGGGAGCGAGGUCCCCGUAGACGGUCCCUUGGGUCGGUAGUGCUUGGAGCCUCCCCGGUUAAAGGGAUUUGGGUUAUGAGUUAUUGGGGUUAAUAAGGUUAACCGGUAAGAUUGGGUCAAAGCCAAGUAAGAGUUACUUUUCAAAGAAUAUACGCACUACAAUGUGAUUGACUCGAGAUCGAGUUGGGUGGUUAGCUUGGCUAGGAUAGAGAGGAAAACCUUAGGAGCAAAUAACCAAUGAUGUAAAGUGACAAGAUGUAUAAAUUAUGGAAAAGCUAUAGAUAGCAUGAUAGAAACUAAAAUCAUUUAUUUUACUUGUAUAGUUGCAUGGUUUCAUAUUACAUAUUGCGAGGCAAGACAUGUAGUUCAAUAUCGAAUAAAUGUUUAAGUAUUUGUUAUAUGUUAUUGGACUAACCUGUUGCAGUGCCUCAUUAGACCUAUUGGUUGAGCUUUUCCCUUGGGUGGCCGUACCCACUGGGAACCAUAGAGUUGGUUCUCACCCCACGUUGUUUUGGGGUGUUACAGGUUCACACGUGAGCGCGCAGUGGCGCGAGGCGAGGGCGUAGCUCUGUAGUUAGCGCCCUACCAUCGAGACCAGAGAUAGUGGUACCCUGAGUCGGCCUUACUUAGGGAUGUAAGGAAAUGAAAAGAAUCAAGUUGUAAUAAUAUUGUUAAAGCUAGAUUGUAUUUGGAAGCUAAAAAGAAUGUAAUAUGUAAUUGUGAUGUAAAAUGUAUCUAGUGAAUGUGAAUGCUUGUAAUAACAAGUAGAUUAUGUCUUGAUAUUUUCUUAUGCAAUCUUUGAUUGAAAUGUAUUCCUAGUUGGAACUUCAUAUAUUGUAUUGAUUGCGACGCCUUGAAUGUACAGGGGAGACUCUGUCAGCGGUACAGGAAAAACUCUGUCCAUUCGGCGGUCUGUCGGCGGCGCCGCAACCCGGCCAAAUAGGUGGGUGGUCGCGGGUUGUGACAGGAUCAAUUCUUGAAACCCUAAUUUCUUGUUCUUCAUGGAGAAUUGAUCCGACUAUUGCUUAGAAACACCUUCUACGAUUUUUUAAUAAUUAUCUAAGCAAUAAAACAUCAUCGAUCGUAUUGUUCUUGCUCUGGACGGAGUGUGCUCGUGGAUUCGAGUGGGCGUCGUGGAUUCGGCGUGAUCAAGGCUUCGUGGAUUCGAAGUGUGGAGUUUCAUGGAUUCGGGACGUGGCGUUCAUGGAUUCGGACGUGGGGCGUGGACAACCCGUUGGUGUGCGCGAGAUCCGGAGAAGAUAAAAGAGAGGUUUGAAUCCGUGGAUUCGGUAAAUCAUCUUGUAAUCUUUUAUUCUUAGUGGAUUGUUAUCGCGUGUUGGUCCCGUGGGUUGUUUACUCAAAGUUGGAGUUUUUCCAUGUAAAUCUCGGUGUGAUUUUCACUUUUUGCAUUUAUUUUUAUCGCAUUGAGAUUUGUGGUUUUUGGCCAUUACACCUAUUCACCCCCCUCUAGGUGUUAGAUACAAUCUAGAUAGAUCCUUGGGCUCCCUCAAAACUUACAAUUGGUAGCAGAGCGGGAUCUAGAUAAAUUGUUAUCUAAUGGCCGAAGGCGGAAACAUUAAUCGACCACCGCUCUUCGAUGGCACGAAUUAUGCCUAUUGGAAAGCUCGCAUGAGAGCUUUUCUAAUCGCAAUCGAUGAGCAUGUUUGGCAAUCAAUAAAAUUUGGAUGGAAACAUCCUAUUGAAAAGGUCGAGAAUGUUGAAACGCCGAAACCACAGAAUAAGUGGACGAAGGAUGAAAACGAGUUAUCUUCGUUUAAUGGUAAGGGCGUAAACACUUUAUUUAAUGCAUUGUCUCAAAUGGAGUUUACUCGUGUUUCGGCGUGUAAUACCGCCAAAGAAAUUUGGGAUACUCUACAAAUUACACAUGAGGGUACAAGUCUAGUAAAAAUUCAAAAGCUCAAGAUGUUGACUAGUCAAUUUGAUUCGAUUCGUAUGAUGGAGCAUGAAUCUUUUACCGAUUAUUAUACUAGACUUCAAGACAUAAUCAAUACAUGUGCUAAUUUGGGAGAGAAGAUCCCGGAUUCUAAAAUUAUUAGAAAAAUUCUUCAGAUUCUUCCGGAAUGCUUUCGGGCAAAAGUUGCCGCAAUUGAAACCGUAAAGCAUCCGGACGAGAUGAAAAUAAAAGAGUUAGUAGGUGCUUUGCAAACUUAUAAGAUGACUUUUCCUACUAACCAAUCUUCUUCCAAGUCUACAAAGGAAGAAGACGACUCGAAUUCCGACGGAGAUAUUUUGCUCGCUGAUUUUGAACAUCAACUGACGCUCUUAACGAAGAAAUUUCGACGGAACUUUCGGAAAAACAAAGCUUCAUCCUCGAAACAAACAUCAUUUUCUAAACAAUCUUCGAGUUCUAAAAUGAAAGACAAAAAACUUGCAAAACCUUCUAAAGAAAAAGAUGAGUUUGAAGGGGAAAUUCAAUGUUAAAAAUGCAAAGGCUACGGCCAUAUUUCUACGGAUUGUCCUACUAAGAUAUCAUAUAAGAAGAAGGCUUUGCAAGUGAGAACUUGGGACGAUUCUACCUCUAAUGAAUCGAGUUCAAGUGAAGAGGAGAAAAUUAAUGUUGCUUUAUGCUCUCAAUCUUCUAUACCUCCCUCUUCAACUUUUUGUUUAUCAUCUAUUAUUUUUGACUCUUUUGUUUCCCCUUCCUUGCAUGGAAUGUCGAGCGAUGAUGGCGAGAGAGAGGGGGAGUCGGAUGAUGAAAGCUUGGCCGAGGCAUACCAACAACUUCUCGAAGAAUCAAAGAAGAUGGCCAAGCACAACAAAAGGCUAAGAAAACGACAACUUGAGCUUGAAGAUGAGAACACUGACUUGAAGAAUGCAUCUAAAACUCUUGAGGAGGAAAGGGAGCAAGUAUUGAAUAAUAAUACAAUUCUCCAAGAGAAGCUCAACCAAUCGGAGAUAACGAUCAAAUCACAUCAAGAAAAGGUUGGUUUUCUAGAACAACAAUAUGAAGAAAUUCGUUCAUCCAAUCAAGUUUUGACCAAACAAGUUUAUCAACUUAAAUCCGACAUUCAAAAGUUUUUCUCCGGUUCGAAAAAGCUAGACCAUAUGCUCGAAUUGGGUCAAACGGAUAAACUGGGACUUGGUUAUAAAAGGACUUAUGUUGAGAAGGAUCAAAAGGCAAUUCGUAAAGUCUCAACAAAUUUGAAAGAGAAAAUUUGCCAUAGAUGUGGUAGUAAAGGACACAUCAAGAAGACAUGCCCUAGAAAAGAAAAGAAACAUCAACCGGCAUGGUCUAUGCAUCUAUCGGCAUCUUCCAAUACUCGACUUCCCCCACAGAUUCCAAAGCAACAUCAAUCAAGUCGCGCACCUCCGAUCAACCAAAAGUCAAAACAAUCGGUACACAACUACAACAAAUCAAGACAACCGAUAAUCCGACAAGUUUGGAUUCGAAAAUGUGAUAUCUUUCCUUGUCUUAAGUCUUUAAUUUGUGUUUGACUUUAUGUUUUGCUAUGAUCGGUUUUAGUGCAUAUCUAUUGAUCAUUGCAUUACAUGUGCUUCGGAUUUUUUCUGGAUCAUUUCGUGAUUAAACAUUAAACAGUGUGUUGAACGUCGAUAAUUUACAUUCAUUCAUUUUGAAUUAAUUUCAUAUUAAUUAUCGGUUUCACUUUAUUAUCACUAUUUAUGAAGAUAAUUUAUAAUAGAAUAUCUUAAUUCUUAUAUUCAUCAAAUUUAAGUAAUCAUGUAUGAUCUUUCGGCACUUAACCUAUCUCGGUUGUGUGUGUUGAAUUUGAUGAAUGAAAAUUUGCUAAUCAACUAAAACUUGUCAAAUUUUCUUUCAUAUAAGAGAUUGCAUAAUUAAGGGGGUGUCAUUUAAUUUUUUUAAAAAAAAGGAGGAAAAGAAGGAAACACUCUAAGUGAUUAAAGUUCAAGUACUUAAAAGAUGUGGAAAGAGUUACAUCUUGAAGGGAGUGUGAAAACUACCACCACAUGUAGGAAAGAGCUACCACCCCGGUCGUCCGGUAAGUGUGUGAAGCUACCACAUGGGAAUUGAUUGAAUAACCGAAAAGGUUGAAAUAUUCAUAUUAUAUAAAAAAAAUUUUCGGUGUAAUAAGGUGGUUUAGUAAAAAGAUGCUUAAAGAGCCACUUCUGGUACAUUAUUGCUUGAUAUAGAAUUUGAACACUUAUGCGACAAAUUUUUAUCAUUUAUUGAAUUUUCAUAAGUCAUCUUUAGAAUCCGUUACAUCUUGAUAGAUUUUGAGCCUUUAGAUUAUUUUUGAUGACUUGAUUUUGAAGUAUAUAUGAGUAAAGAAAUUUUAUUAUAUUUUAUCUACAUCUUGGUGCUCUUGUAGUGAAAUUCUUAUUUUCUAUGAAAUUGAUGUGGAUUGAAAAAAAUCUAUGUGAAUUUAUUAUGUUCAUGCACUGACAAUUGAUUAACUCUCUCAUUUUUGGUACUUUCUUUUUGCAAUUUUUGACAAAAAGGGGGAGAGCGUGGAUGAUUUUGUGGAUGAUUUUCGAGUUUGAAUUUCAAUCUUUUGAUGCAUGAACAAAGGGGGAGAUAUUUUCAUUUUCAUAUUUUUUUUACUACUAACUUUGUUUGUUAACUUUGUUCGUGGAGAAAGUAAUCUUUUUGCAGAUCAUUGAAAACUUCAAGACUCCUAGUUGUGUCUAAGUCAUAGAGUUUGUGUAAGAGUUGCAAAAUUACAAUUUUGUAUUUGUUUGGAUCUUUCACGCGAGAAGUUCAUUGAUUUGGUGAUGUCAAUGAAUUUCAUUUUUGAGAGGUGAGCGUUGUGAGUAUUUUGAUGUAAUUUUGAGUUUUGUCACGAAAUUGCCAAAGGGGGAGAUUGUUACGGAUUUUAUGUUGGCAUAUUUCGUGAAGUUAGUCCGGAGUCUUGAAGGUUUAAAGAAGGAGAGAUGAAGAUCGAAGACUCGAUGACUCAAAACAUAAAUCCACAAUGCUCGUAAGUUAAAAUACUAUUGAUGAUGAUUUAUAAACAUUAACAAGUGUUUGGAAGACUUAGGAUGGGUUUUAAAAUGAAUUGGACUAAACUGAACUUGUCAAGGUUCAGGGACUGGUCCUUGAUCAGAGGGACCGAACCCUGAAGGUUCUCUCUGCGUAAAGAAACUGUCACGCCCCGGGGUCCAUUUUUGUUUGAAAACACAACGGAAAUAGCUAGAUUUUUUUUUUUUUGAAAGACCUGACCCCAGGGUAUGCCAGAUCCGCCAUAUAUACAGAGAGUUCACUAAUCACACGGACAGAGUCUCCCCUGUAUUUGCACGGCGUCGCACAAGUACAAUAAGUAAACUGAAUACAACCACAACUAAAUGAAUAUAGAAACAAUUAUACAAUCAUUCAUUCACCAUUCACAUCACAAUUAUACAUUCAAUGUUUAACAUAAAUCUACACCUAUCAGUUAAAAACGUUUUCAACCCAGAAACAGGUUUUGAAAUGCUAAGAUACAAAAUCCACAGAAAACCUUUUAAAAACUGUUCCCUACACGGGAACUUUUAUCUUUUAGAAACGCUACCACGAGGGGUAGAAAAUCAUUCAACAUUUGAAAUCCACAAAUCCUUUUUAUUACAUCAUAAAUCCAACUGAAAAUUCAGAUAUUCAACUACUAUAACAAAAACUGAACUAUAAUAUGUCUAAGUUAUUUAUUCAAGCAUGAAGGGUAAAGAAAUAACCGACACGGGACGGAGCUCUAUCGUACGCUAGAAAUGCUCCUCACCAGCUGUCCCACUUGGACCUGCGACGUCACCUGUAAUGGGGGCGGGGGGGUGAGAACAUGUAAACAUAUCUCCCUCUCCUUCCAGUGGGUACCGCAAGCCGACGAGGGCGAGGGGUACUCACUAGUCAGGAGAUAAACAAGGAUAUGAAUAAUGGUAAUACAGUAGCUAAGAUAAACAAGUAAUGAAAUGUGUAUAGAUAAACCACUACAGGUACUGUAUGCGUGCAUCAAAUCAGUCCAAAAGUACCCAAUAUGAAACCAAUGCUCUCUUGGUCCGCACCGCAAACCUCAAGCCAGUGCCACUACUACUCUACCAUGCAUAUAACCCCUCUAGGGCUCACGGAUUGACAACUGCAACCAUUUUUCCGGAAAAGAACACCCCUUGCGGUGGAUCAGACCGCCAGUGUUCGUGAAAUGCGACGAGUAUCGGGCGAUCAAUGCAAUAUGCUCAAUGAUCAACCGUCGGCAACUAGCCGACAAUCCUGCCCCCCAGGGCACACCAGCCAUAUGGGUCAUCAUGUAAUCAAAUCAACCAACCAGGUCACAAGUAUAGGAGAUGCAAUGUCCACAAGUAUAGGAGAUGCAACGUCGACCAACCAGGUCAUGGAGAUCACAUAGGAGAAUAGACCAACCAAAUCAUAGAUGCAAAUAGGAGAACCGACCAACCAGGUCACAGAUGCAAAUAGGAGAACCGACCGACCAGGUCACAAAUAUCAUAUACAGAUAAAGUUUACUAUACUCCUACACAUGAUACUACAUCUGGCAACAACUAAGUAGAGUAAAUAAGGAAAUAGCAUGGGUGUAAGGCUCAACAUGUAUAAGGUAAAUGAUAUACACAACAAGGGUAAAGGAAACGUCACCGAGCGUGCACCACUGUACCGACGUCGGAACGAAGUACCCACCUGUAUGUGUCUGACGAAAAUCUCUCGACUGUGAAGACGGUGCAACCGAACCUACGAAAGGUCCACCGGGUUAGAACCUAACCCACUAACACAUAUCGCUAACUCACAAUCCCACAAUCAUAGCCCUUCGGGAAUCGGUUUUCCAAAACCGAUUGCCGAACUCACCAGAAGUCACAAAAAAACUGCACCGGGACUCCGCCGGGACCCACGAACCGUCCCAAAACUACCCAACUCAUCAUAUGAGUUGCUCGCUGCCGCUAAACACCUAUUUUAGUGUGACAAGGCAGCAAAGACGCUAACUCGAUGCGGAACGAUUAUCGUCGGAUAAUCGUUUCGAUUCGGGUUCCCGGAAAUGUCUAUUUCGACACCGGAACCCGCCGUCGCUCACUCGUCGUUUCUGAACCCUCGAAACGACACGGGUGACAAGCCAACAAGGCUCAGCGACACUACAAUCAACCACGAGGCACUGUCGGAUGAAUUUCGAAUCGAAAACGCGUUCUAUCAGCGGAUUUCGCCGAAAAACGCUCCAGAAAUCACUUUUCGAUUUUCGCAAAAGCUUGGGGCCUUGGACGAUCAGUCCAGAGGUUAUCCUCAGCCUACCCUUGCUGCCAACAUCAUCUACAUCGAAGCAAAAACCCUAAAAGCCCUUACCGAUACGUGAAAUCACAUCAUUUUAUGUGAUUUCUAGGCUUUUCUGGACCGUGCACGCAAACCAGAGAUCGAUUCAGCAAACCGUCGCGCUCGCUGAUAGGUUUCAGCGUGCCAGAGGCCGUGCUCACCUUUCGGAGAACUGCCGGCCACUAUGGCACGCGCACGAGCGACACGAAACUCAGUGAAACAGCGCGCACAGCGCUAAGAUUGCCAUUAAUGCACAAUCCAGGGCAUCUCUGUCCCUGUUGGAGGUGAGCAAGAUGUUCAGCACGUGUUGUAGAUCAUCGUGCUCACUUCCCUAGGUCUAGAAGGCUUAACGGAUCACCGAAAAGGUGACCGAAAUCUCAGACUUUAGUGCUGGAACAUAAAACAGCCUUACCAGAACCGGGGAGAGCUAGGGUUGGUCGCCGACGGUCGGACGGCGGGCGGUCCAGCUAGGGGAGGGCGCGGCCGGUAGGUGAGUUCCGGGGCACUCGUUGGCCGGUGGCUGGAGGCGGCCGGUGGCGCGGCGGCGGAGAUCAACUCCCUAAGGCUGCUCACGGGUUCAAGGGCGCCGACAGCAAGGCGGCGGCCGAAGGAGCUUGGGGCGGCGACGAUUCGACGCCGGAGGCCGAGGGAGAGGCGGUGCACCCUUCGUUGGACGGCGGCGGCGCUUGGAAGUCGAGCGGACUCGACCUCGGUCCGCACCAACCCAGGACGGCCGCAAGCUGCACAAGCGGCGGCCGGCGGUCCACGGGGAUGGCCGGGAUGGCGAGCAGGAGGUCGCCGGAGGUGCGGGGAUAGCGCUGGGGAUGGGCCUGUGCCAGGGGAUGUUGAAGCUCGGGCUUUGAUGCCUUCCCGAGCACAACAGCUGAGCUGGUGGCGAGGUGGGUCUAACGAGGAGUUGAGGGGAGGCCGGGGUGGCUUUUCCGGCGGCCGGAGCUGCUCGUCGGCGGUCCCGAUGUGCGAAUUGGCAGGGCAUGGUGUAGGUAGGGCAGCUAGGGUUAGCUAGGUGAACGUGGGCAGCCAAAGAACCAUGAAAAACCCUAGAUGUUACUUUUAUACAAGGUGUCAUUUUGCGAGGAACCCCUUCAAAGUCAAAUAAUUAUAAUCCUGCCCCUGCCCGCAUGUGUAACUUGCAUGCCAGCCCAUCAACAUUCGAAAUCUCGUGAAACAGCGCAUAAAAUAUAGGGUCUUUUCGCGAUUAAUCGAUUUUGCCAAAUUGACCUCUCAGCGGACUUUUCACAAUUUCCGAAGAUCCGCCCGUCGGAUUUCCGAACGGAUUGCGCCAGCGCGUUCAGAAUGACUGGGGCAUCGAAUCUAGCAUCUUACUUUGUCCGAUUUGGUUUUCGAUUUGCGUCAAAACCAUCCCUCUUUUGUUUUCACUAUGUAGCCACUUAUAUUACUACACGUGAAACCAAUCAAACCCCUUUUUUCUCGACAACCGUGCAUCAGAAUCCAAUUUCGUCAGUGCCAUUGGGUCCAGAAUGGUCGAACCGUUCGAAACGAGCUAUUGGAGCACUAUGAUCGGAGUCCAAUGUGCACCAGAACCGUCUUCUACUCACUGGCUUCGCCGGGAAGCCAGAGUUACUAUUCACUCUAAGUUAUCGGUUCAGGUUGCAUAACUUCUCCAUCUUAACUCGUUUUCACCUGAAAUUUGACAAGUGCUUAUGUAAUUAUAUUACACAUAAAAAUAUUGUCAACAAAGGGUUUAAUUUUUAUUACUAAAAAUCUCGGUUAUUACAUCAUUCCCCCCUUACAAGAAGUUUCGUCCCCGAAACUUAAAUCAAGGAUCCCCCGUGAAUAGCUGCGGAUAACUCUCCCGCAUAGAAGACUCAAGCUCCCAUGUAGCCUCGCGCUCCUCGUGAUUUGCCCACUGAACUUUUACAUACGGAAUGCUCCUGUUCCGUAAUUGCUUCACUUCACGUGCCAAAAUCCCCAAUGGAGCCUCAUCAUAGCUCAGAUCCUCCCGUAGCUGAAUAGAUGUCGGACUAAUGAUGUGAGACGGAUCUGGAAUGUAUUUCCGCAACAUGGACACAUGAAAGACAUUGUUCACCCGGGUGAGACUUGGAGGAAGAGCCAAUCUGUACGCUACCGGACCGAUGCGCUCCAGGAUCUCAAACGGUCCCACGAACCGCGGACUUAGCUUGUUCCGCAAACCGAACCGCUUGAUCCUCUUGGAUGGCGACACCUUGAGCAACACAUGCUCACCGACCUGAAACUCCAGGUCACGCCUCUGCUGAUCCGCGUAUCUCCUCUGUCGACUCUGUGCAGUCAGAAGCCGCUCUCUCGCAAUGCGGAUCUUCGCCAACGCAUCCUCCACUAAGUCUGGCCCGAUCAACCGACGUUCUCCGACGUCGUCCCAACAGAUAGGAGACCGACAUCGACGCCCAUAUAAAGCCUCGUACGGUGCCAUCCCGAUGCUCGCCUGGUAGCUGUUAUUAUAGGAGAACUCCACCAACGGUAGAUAUCGGAACCAUCCAUCACCGUAAUCCAGGAUACAUGCGCGGAGCAUGUCCUCAAGAGUCUGGAUGACUCGCUCUGACUGUCCGUCGCUCUGGGGAUGGAAUGCCGUACUGAAGUUCAACUUCAUACCCAUAACCUAUUGCAAGCUCCUCCAGAAGUGGGAAACAAAGCGAGUGUCCCGAUCAGACACAAUCGACACUGGCACACCAUGAAGCCGAACAAACUCGUCAAUGUAUAACUGUGCUAGUCGAUCACGGGACCACGUUGUAUGCAUCGGCAAGAAGUGAGCCAAUUUCGUCAGCCGAUCAACUAUAACCCAGAUCACAUCAUGGCCUCGCUGUGAUCGAGGCAAUCCGGUGACGAAAUCCAUAGUGAUCUGCUCCCACUUCCAUACGGGGAUCGGAAGUGGUUGCAGCUUUCCUGCUGGUCGCUAAUGCUUAGCUUUCACCUGCUGACAAAUCAAGCACCGAGCCACGUGCUGAGCCACAUCAAGCUUCAUCCCAGGCCACUAGAAAUUCUGCUUCAGGUCGCGGUACAUCUUGGUUCCUCCUGGGUGAACUGUGUAAGGGGAUCGGUGCGCCUCGGAUAGGAUGUCGUUCCUCAGCUCCGAGUCAUUGGGCACACACCAUCUGCCUUUAAAGCGCAGAGAUCCAUCAGUGUGGAUAUUGAAGUCCCCGUCCUUACCCUGCUCGACCUCCGCCCGCACUUUCUGUAAGUACGGGUCACUCUACUACCCAAGCAAAAUCCGCUCCGUCAAAGUAGGCUGUAUCACCAGAGUCAUCAAUUGGGCCGUGGCCCCGGUGGAAACAACCUUGAUCUCCAGACGGCGGAACUCCACGAGUCGAUCCUGGCUCGUGAUCAUAAUGGACAACGAAGCUGAAGGCUGUUUCCGGCUCAAGGCGUCCACCACCGCGUUCGCCUUUCCCGAAUGGUACUGGAUCGUGAGAUCGUAGUCCUUUAAGAGCUCGAGCCAACGUCUCUGCCUGAGGUUCAACUCCUUCUGUGUGAAAAGGUACUUCAGGCUCUGAUGAUCGGUGAAUACCUCGCAGUGUGCUCCAUAUAGAUAGUGCCUCCACAGCUUUAGGGCAAACAUUACCGCCGCGAGCUCUAGAUCGUGAGUCGGAUAGUUCUUUUCAUACGACUUUAGCUGUUGAGAUGCGUAAGCGAUGACCCGAUCCUGCUGCAUAAGCACGCACCCCAGACCGACCCAGGAGGCGUCACAAUAGACCACAAAAUCCUCACCAGGUCGCGGCAGAGUAAGAACGGGUGCGCGGGUCAAUCGAUCCUUCAGCUCAUCAAAGCUCUGCUGGCACUGCUCGGUCCACUGAAACCGUUCUCCUUUUCUGGUAAGCUUGUUUAGCGGUGCGGCGAUCUUGGAGAAGCCCUCAACGAAUCGCCGAUAAUAACCCGCCAAACCCAGAAAGCUCCGGACUUCAGUCACCGAAGUCGGUUCAGGCCACUCGACCACUGAGGCUAUCUUCUUUGGAUCCACCGUAAUGCCCGAUGGAGUCACAAUAUGCCCUAAGAAAGAUACCUCGCGGAGCCAGAACUCGUACUUCUUGAGCUUACCAUAUAGCUUGUGCUCUCGAAGUAUCUGCAGUACUCGUCGGAGAUGAUCCUUGUGCUCCUCAUCACUCCGCGAGUAAAUCAGGAUGUCGUCAAUGAAGACCACGACAAACUGAUCCAAGUAUGCCCGAAAGACCCUAUUCAUCAUAUCCAUGAAAGCUACCGGGGCAUUGGUGAGCCCAAACGGCAUCACCGUGAACUCGUAGUGGCCGUAUCGAGUUCUAAAGGCGGUCUUCGACACAUCCUCAUCCCGGAUCUUAAGCUGAUGGUACCCGGACUGUAGGUCGAUCUUCGAAUACACCGAUGAUCCAUGAAGCUGAUCGAAGAGAUCCUCAAUCCGGGGUAGUGGAUACUUGUUCUUCACAGUGACCUUAUUAAGCUCCCGGUAGUCGAUGCACAGUCGAAGACUACCAUCCUUCUUUUUGACAAAGAGGACUGGGGCACCCCCAAGGAGACACGCUAGGGCGGAUAAACCCUCUCUCCAGAAGAUCCUCAAGUUGAGCCUUCAACUCUUUCAGCUCAGCGAAGGCCAUGCGAUAGGGGGCCUUCGAGAUCGGUGCCGUGCCUGGAACUAGCUCGAUGAAGAAGUCGAUCUCCCGGUCCGGAGGCAUUCCCGGAAGCUCAUCUGGAAAGACAUCCGGGAAUUCCUGAACAACUAGAAUAUCCUCCAAUGGUGGUGCAGCUCGGUGGGUGACAUCUACUGAAGCCAGGUAGGCUACACAUCCCGCAUUCAUAAGCCUCUUUGCUCUAGCUGAAGAGAUAGACGCGGCAAAAUAGGAGCUCUUACAUGCUCGGUAUACGAAUACUUCUUCGCCGGGCCCGAUAAAUGUCACCGUCCUCCGCUCGCAGUCGAUGGUAGCGUGGUGCCUGGUAAACCAGUCCAUCCCAAUCACCACGUCGAACUUCUUCAUGGGAAGUACCACCAGGUUCGCCAGGAAGCUCCGAUUAUCCAAAAUGACAGGGUACGAUAGGAUGCACCGAUCAGCUAAUAGGUCACCUCCAGGCGUGUCAAUACGGAGCGGCACGUCUAGUGGACGCGAGGAAAUACCAUGCUCACAUGCAAAUGAAUGCGAAAUGAAUAAGUGCGAUGCUCCAUUAUCGAAUAUAGCUCUAGCACGAGUAAUGCAGAGGGUAACAAUACCUGCAAGGACGUCACCAUCAUUGUUGCCUUCGUGCGCGCCCCCUCGUUUUGGCGUGAGGAGGAGGGACGCCUAAACGAAGCAGCUGCGCUUGGAGCUCAACGGUUCUGUCGGGAUGCAGCUGGGGAGGAGGCAGCACUCUGAUUAGCCACAUUUCUCUUAGGGCAAUGUGCUUGCAGGUGGCCCGGCUGACCACAAUGGAAACAGUUGUCCCUCCUCUGCGGACAGUCGGUCACCCGGUGUGCUUGCCCACAAAUCACACGGGGUUGACCGCCCCGUCGCUGACUGCCGGAGGGUGCACUCUUCGCCGACUGCUGAGUGCGAGGAUGCUUCGGUGGCUUUUUGCUGAAAGAAGAGCCACUGCUAGACUUAGAAUGGGAACGCUUCCUGUCCCCUGAUCGCUAGGAUGCAUCGCGAUCAGCUCGCAUCUCCUCUGACUCGCUCUGCACUAUAAGAGCCCGGUCGAAAGACUCGUCGAAGGGUAUCAUGCCAUUGGACGCGACCAAGAGCCGAAUGUUGGGCCUCAGCCCCCUGAUAAAAAGCUUGGCCUUGUGGUACUCGUCCCGCACCGCGAAGGGAAUCAGCCCGACGAUGCAGCUGAAAUCUCGCUCGUACUCCGCCACAGUACGGUUACCCUGCUUAAGGCGCUCCAGCUCGCGCUCCAAGUUCUGCUUCGUACUGUCCUUGAAGUACUGCUCAUUUAGGAGUCUCCGAAACUCAUCCUAGGGUGGAUAGAUGCUUGAGAGCUUGUUCACGAAGUGGCGGAUCCACCAUGCAUACGCAUCCCUCUCAAGGCAAUGAGCGGCCAGAGGAACGCGAUCCUGCUCCUCAAUAUGGAGAUCGCGAAAUAGUUUCUCCAUGUGGGUGGCCCAGUGCUCGAUCACCCAUGCAUCGUCAUUCUUCCUAGCGAACUUAGGCGGAUCGAACUUUCUAAACUGGACCAACUUCGCACGCAUGUGAUCGCCCUCCACUGCAGAGGUAUUAGCACCCCCAGCGAAAACCGUCGUGGUAGUCGUCGUCGUCGUCGUGCCAGUCGGAGCUGUAGCCGGUGGAGGUAUCAUCGAGUGUCCGCAGUAACUGGAGCCGGCUGUGUCGGAGGUGGAGCCGGGGGAGCAGCAGCUGCAGUCUGCUGCUGUAUAAACUACUGGAACAUCCCCGAGAGGGCCGUCAGCUGACCCCUCAUCGCUGCUACCUCGGCCUCAAGCUGCUAGGUACGCGCAUCACCCAACUGCUCGGGGCCGACCUGCUUCCCUCCACCCCUGCCCCUCGGGACACGCCCUCCAGGACUGUUCGAUGCCCCCUCAGUGGCGCAUCCACCGCCACGACCCCGACGAGGAGGUCUACCAGGACCACGAGCCAUCUGCAACAGAAAACACCGUCAGCCGAAUAAUCGACUUCGACUACUACCAACCAGGACUCGAGCCCAAACCCCGCACUCACAUGCUUAUACAUCGUAGGUCUUCCUAAAGGUCAACCUAACCAAUGGUUCAGUUUAUUUUUAUUUUCAAAAUAACCUGUGAAUGGUGUUGUGGUUGUAACUUGGCUCUGAUACCACUUUAAUCUGUAACGCCCCGGGGUCCAUUUUUGUUUGAAAACACAGCGGAAAUAGCUAAAUUUUUUUUUUUUUUUAAAGACCUGACUCUAGGGUAUGCCAGAUCCGCCACAAAUACAGAGAGUUCACAGAUCACACGGACAGAGUCUCCCCUAUAUUUGCACGGUGUCGCACAAGUACAACAAGUAAACUGGAUACAACCACAACUAAAUGAACAUAGAAACAACUAUACAAUCAUUCAUUCACUAUUCACAUCACAAUUAUACAUUCAAUAUUUAACAUAAAUCUACAUCUAUCAGUUAAAAACGUUUUCAACCCAGAAACAGGUUUUGAAAUACUAAGAUACAAAAUCCACAGAAAACCUUCUAAAAACUCUUCCCUACACUGAAACUUUUAUCUUUUAGAAACGCUACCACGAGGGGUAGAAAACCAUUUCCAUUUCAAGAAAACACAAAUUCCUUUAUUGCAUUCCAAAACCAACUGAAAACUCAGAUAUUCAACUACUAUAACAAAAACUGAACCAUAAUAUGUCUAAGUUGUUUAUUCAAGCAUAAAGGGUAAAGAAAUAACUGACACGGGAUGGAGCUCUAUCGUACGCUAGACACGCUCCUCACCAGCUGUCCCACUCGGACUUGCGACGUCACCUGUAAUGGGGGCAGGGGGGUUGAGAACAUGUAAACAUGCCUCCCCUCCCUGUGGGUACCGCAAGCCGACGAGGGCGAGGGGUACUCACUAGUCACGGAGAUAAACAAGGAUAUGGAUAAUGGAAGUACAAUAGAUAAGAUAAACAAGUAAUGAAAUGUGUAUAGAUAAACCACUACAGCUACUGUAUGCAUGCAUCAACGGGACAAUCAGUCCAAAAGUACCCAAUUUGAAACCAAUGUUCUCUUGGUCCGCACCGCAAACCUCAAGCCAGUGCCACUACUACUCUACCAUGCAUAUAACCCCUCUAGGGCUCACGGGGUGACACCUGCAACCACUUUUUCGGAAAAGAACACCCCUUGCGGUGGAUCAGACCGCCAGUGUUCGUGAAAUGCGACGAGUAUAGGGCGAUCAAUGCAAUAUGCUCAAUGAUCAACCGUCGGCAACCAGUCGACAAUCCUGCCCCCCAGGGCAUACCAACCACAUGGGUCAUCAUGUAAUCAAAUCAACCAACCAGGUCACAAGUAUAGGAGAUGCAAUGUCCACAAGUAUAGGAGAUGCAACGUCGACCAACCAGGUCAUGGAGAUCACAUAGGAGAACAGACCAACCAAAUCAUAGAUGCAAAUAGGAGAACCGACCAACCAGGUCACAGAUGCAAAUAGGAGAACCGACCGACCAGGUCACAGAUAUCAUAUACAGAUAAAGUCUACUAUACUCCUACACAUGAUACUACACCUGGCAACAACUAAGUAGAGUAAAUAAAGAAAUAGCAUGGGUGCAAGGCUCAACAUGUAUACGGUAAAUGAUAUAAACAACAAGGGUAAAGGAAACGUCACCGAGCGUGCACCACUGUACCGUCGUCGGAUGGAAGUACCCACCUGUACGUGUCUGACGAAAAUCUCUCCACUGUGAAGACGGUGCAACCGAACCUACGAAAGGUCCACCGGGUUAGAACCUAACCCACUAACACAUAUCGCUAACUCACAAUCCCACAAUCAUAGCCCUUUGGGAAUCGGUUUUCCAAAAUCGAUUGCCGAACUCACCAGAAGUCACAAAAAAACUGCACCGGGACUCCGCCGGGACCCACGAACCGUCCCGGAACUAUCCAACUCAUCAUAUGAGUUGCUCGCUGCUACUAAACACCUAUUUUAGUGUGACAAGGCAGCAAAGACGCUAACUCGAUGCGGAACGAUUAUCGUCGGAUAAUCGUUCCGAUUCGGGUUCCCGGAAGUGUCUAUUUUGACACCGGAACCAGCCGUCGCUCACCCGUCAUUUCUGAACUCCCGAAAUGACACGGGUGACAAGCCAACAAGGCUCAGCGACACUACAAUCAACCACGAGGCACUGUCGGAUGAAUUUCGAAUCGAAAACGCGUUCUAUCGGCGGAUUUCGCCGAAAAAUGCUCCGAAAAUCACUUUUUGAUUUUCGCAAAAGCUUGGGGCCUUGGACGAUCAGUCCAGAGGUUAUCCUCAGCCUACCCUUGCUGCCAACAGCAUCUACAUCGAAGCAAAAACCCUAAAAGCCCUUACCGAUACGUGAAAUCACAUCAUUUUAUGUGAUUUCUAGGCUUUUCUAGACCGUGCACGCAAACCAGAGAUAGAUUCGGCAAACCGUCGCGCUCGCUGAUAGGUUUCAGCGUGCCGAAGGCCGUGCUCACCUUUCGGAGAACUGUCGGCCACUGUGGCACGCGCACGAGCGACACGAAACUCAGUGAAACAGCGCGCACAGCGCUAAGAUUGCCAUUAAUGCACAAUCCAGGGCAUCUCUGUCCCUGUCAGAGGUGAGCAAGAUGUUCAGCACGUGUUGUAGAUCAUCGUGCUCACUUCCCGAGGUCUAGAAGGCUUAACGGAUCACCGGAAAGGUGACCGGAAUCUCAGAAUUCAGUGCUGGAACAUAAAACAGCCUUACCGGAACCGGGGAGAGCUAGGGUUGGUCGCCGGCGGCCGGACGACGGGCGGUCCAGCUAGGGGAGGGCGUGGCCGGUAGGUGAGGUCUGGGGCAACCGCUGGCCGGUGGCUGGAGGCGGCCAGUGGCGCGGCGGCGUAGAUCAACUCCCUAAGGCUGCUCACCGGUUCAAGGGCGCUGGCAGCAAGGCGGCGGCCGGAGAAGCUUGGGGCGGCGACGAUUCGACGCCGGAGGCCGAGGGAGAGGCGGUGCACCCUUCGUUGGACGGCGACGGCGCUUGGAAGUCGAGCGGACUCGACCUCGGCCCGCACCAACCCAGGGCGGCCGCAAGGUGCACAAGCGGCGGCCGGCGGUCCACGGGGAUGGCUGGGAUGGCGAGCGGGAGGUCGCCGGAUGUAAGGUACCAGACUUCUAAAACUAUGAAGUUACGAUAUACAUUUAAAUGGUUCCGGUGAGGUUGCGGUGGAAUGUAACAUACUGAAUUUUAAAUGUAAAAGUGAAAAUAAAUAAAAAUAGUAUGAGAUACUAUUUUUAUUGGAUUUAGAAAAGUGAAAUGUAGGUUGGGAAUGACCUGUGCUGAAAUCGGAGCGAAAACAGAGGAUUUAGAAUUUUCUGUGUGAAACGAGGCAGAUAAAUUAGCAGAAAAUGCAGUGUCAGAAAAUUCUGAAAACUGGAGGAUAAGCCAGAAUUAUUUUUAUGAGGCUAGAUUUAAUGUUUCAUAUCAUUCUGACAUCCGGAAGGUGGAAAAUAAAAUCCGAUAGUGAUCUGAUAAAGAUUACAGUUCGGUACAGCUUUCAGUGACCAAAUGGGGUCGAAACUGAAAGAUUAAAAUUUCUUUCGUUAAGUUAAGCAAAACCGAACAUGACUGUCAAAUUUGAGCUCAAACGGAUAUUCAGGGAGCUCCGGCGAAAGAUAUCAGAUUUUGAGCUGCCUGAUGUGAAUAGUGUAUGCUACUAUUGAGGUGUUGACUAUAAGUAGAAGCUACUAGGCUUCUUCUUCCUCCUCAGCUGCAGCCAGCACAAGCAUCACACGCACAUGGUGAAGGAGAGAGAAACCCUCUCUUUCUCUCUCUAAAUAUCUCUCUCAUCUCUCUAGAUCUUUCGCCCAAAUUCGCGGCGUUGGCGGAGAACGAGCUUGCGAACGCGUUGGGAGCGACGGAUUGAGCUUUCGUGCACCCGUUGGAGCGGCGUGCUUCCGUCUCGGCGUUCACAUUUUGGUAAACUUUUGGGAUUUGGCUGAAUCCUUAACCUUAAGUAUUCUAGUAGUCUCUAAUGAGCAUUCUUAGCAUGUUGCUCUAUUUAAUUUGGAUUAUUUGGAAGUAAUUGCAUGUUAGGGCUCAAAAAUGGGAUUUUGCAAUAUGUGAGGGUUUGAUCUAAAUUGAUCAUGUAUAAACCUAAUUGCUAGGUUUUCUGACGCGUUGGCGAAGUCGGUUCGGCGAUACGACGAGCGUACGCGAAGAUAUUAAAGAACGAAGCCGUUAAGGUACAGAUUGCCGCAGCUCGCGGCGAAAGCUUCCAAAAAUCACGAAAUCGGAACCCUAGCCUCGUGAUAGCGAUAAAAGGUGGGGGGUGUCCAUCCCGAAGCAACCGGGCUUCCUUCUAUGUCUAAGUUAAAUGUAUUGAUCAUAUAUCAACAUUAUGCAUUAUAGGAUGUGUAGAUGGUUGCAUUUCCAUUUCCUUGCAUGCUUCUUAGUAGUGUAGCAUUGUGAGCUUGACACAUGGACUAGGGAUGCAUGAGGAUUGGGUCUUGUGACAUGGAAUCCUAUAGUGGCAUAAAGAUAAACUUGGAUAUGUAAAUGGCCUAGAAGAGUGACAUUUGGACUAGUGUUAGUACUAUGCAUGAUAGGGUAUUGGAUAGUCGCAUUUCCAUUCUUGCAUGAUCCUGAGUAGUGUAGCAACAUGAGUUUGGCACUUGAGUUAGGAUGCAUGAGAAUAGAGGAGUUGUGACAUAGCACCCUACAGUGGUAAAGUUAAAUAAUGAACUUAAUCUUGUGUUGACAAGGAUUAGAGAACGAGUGGCAUCUAGACAAUGUUGACAACUUGACGAGUGGCAUGACAAGUACUGUAUAGAUGAAAAUACUUGUUGCAUGUUGAACAUAUAGAUGAAAUAGUUCCUAAGUGGAUGUUGACCCUAGUAGCAGGGUAUCCUCUUGUGACGAGGAUUUGAUCAUACUCACAUGUCUGUUCAGAGCUUGUAGGUGGUCGCUUCACACAAGCAGUGCACUCCGGAGUUGUCACACGAUAGGGAUAGCCUUAUGGGGUCCCGAGAGAUAGCCUUAUGGGGUCCCGCAGACGGUCUUGGGCGAGUGAGCAGAUCCUCCCCAAGUGAGUCGGGUGAGUGAGAUGAUCCUCACCUGUGAGAUUGAGGUUGGGUUGUGGUACCUGUGUUGAGUCGGGCGAGUGAGCAGAUCCUCCCCGUUGUGAUUAGAUCGUGAGUCGGGCGAGUGAGCGGAUUCUCUCCUUUGAGACUAGAUUGUGAGUUGGGUGAGUGAGCGGAUCCUCACCCUUGUUAUUGAGUAGAUUGCAUACUAUGUAGUUGUUCAUACAUUGGAUUAUUGAGGCAUAGAUCAUAUACUAUGUUGUAGCUCAUUCCAUUGGUUAUUGAAAGCAUAGUAGAAUGUUGCAUAUUACUUUACUAUGUUGCACUUCAAUUUUAUAUCUAUCUAUCUAUCUAUCUAUUUAUCUGCUUGUGCCUACUUGGACCUAGUGGGAAGAUCGGCGGAGUCGGCGGCCGAACCCACUGGGAACUAUAUUUAUAUAGUUCUUACCCCACUUUGUUGCAGGGCCUAGCGAGAGAGCACCGGCAGAGGACCGUGGUAAGGGCAUCGCGCCCUAGGUAUAGUUAGCAGCUUCCACUUGCAUUAGUGUACCCUUGUGUACCCCGUGACAUAUGAUGUAUUGAGGGAGCUUGCUUGUGUAUUUUGGAGAUUAUCAUGCAUAUUCAUUUUGGAGAUUAUCAUGUAAUCAAGGAUCUAAAUGUUGAAUGCCUUGUGGAUGUAAUAGCUAGAUGUUACUCUCUUUAUAUCACUCGUUUUAUUACUUGUGUCUUGCUCUUAAGUGUAUAGCACAUGUGGUGCUUCGUAUUGUUCAUGUAUGUUGUAUGUCAUCCUGGGCGACAAAAAUAUACAUGAGCUUGUUGUUGAGCCUAGGGCGGACAGGGAAGGUGCUGUCCGUUCGGCGUCUAUUCGACGCGCCCGAACCGGACCAAAUUGGUAGCGGCCUCGGGGCGUGACACCGGAGGUGCGAGGAGGGCGGCGCGGCCGGCGGGGAGCGGCGGCGGCGCGCGGAGGCAGAGAUCACCCAGACUCGGCCUGGGUGACUGCAGCUAGCCGUAGGGAGCUGGGGUGGCUCCGGCAGCGCGCGGGGACG
rnacentral:lncRNA from 1 species